ensembl:lncRNA
CGAUGCGCCCGCAGCGCACGGAGGUGACAGCGGCGGCAGCGCAGCCCCGGAGCCGCGGUGACCGCCCGGCCCUCCCACUUCCCUUCAAUUUCCCAAACAAUUUCCUCAUCGGAGCUCUCCGUCUGGAACGUAUUAGCGAUUCACAGGCGCGGAGGAAAUGGGGAUCUUUGGGUCCCGCUCUGAUGGGAAGGGCGGAGCCGGGGCCGGCAUUCGUUCCCCUUUUGUAGCCGAGGGGCGGACGGAGCGGCCGCAGAACCCCACUGUGCUCCCCUGGCAGCGCCCCCACGAACCCAAUCUGUGUGCGUUACGAAAGCAGCGAUGGAGGAGAGCACGGGGACCCCCACGGCCCCACGGAGCCGCCCCCCCCCCCCGGACCCCCGGUGCCAUUGGGGCAGUGCGGGGCGGAGAAGCAGAUAAUCCGGGGCUGUGGGAGCUGCACUGCUGCAAACCCAAACCAAACGAGACAGAAAACAGUGAUUUUCCUUUGGGAUCCCCAGCACCGGUCCCAGCUGUGUGGGUGCCAGCAAUGGGGGAAGGCCUUGAGUGGAGCAGGCACCCACUGACCCCGAAACCUAAACCUGGGAUGGAACAGCUCUGCUUCAGCUCAGCCUCCUUCAACCCCGCAGCAGGAAGAGGUCCCCAGGCCGGGCUCGCUUUCCUCCUUGAGAGUAUUCUGCUUUGCUUUGGCUUUGUUUUGAUUCCCCUGAAUGUCUGCUGACACACACGUGGCUCACAGCACAGCGCAGCCCUGCCCCACUUCUUCCUUUCCUGCCCCACUUCUUUCUUUCCUGCCCAUCCACGGAAGCUCUGGGCCGGUUUCUGCUUUUGCUGUGGGACAGGAACGUUGGGUUUCUUUCACCUCGUGCUGUGCAGGGAGGAACCCCACAGCCCAUCUCGGUCCUUACGGGGUUUCUUUGGGGCCGGAGCAGCGCAGAUCUGCCGGCCCUCUGGGGGUCAGCAGAUCGGAUUUAACCCACAGCAGCGCUAUUUCCCCACUCCCAACCUUCACAAUACCGCGACAGAACGUCUUCCCGCAGCACCCCAACCCCACAGAGCCUCAUUAUCCGCGGACCGCCCGCGGGGCUCCAUGUGACUCCCCCCCUCGUGCCCUCCCGUUUGAUGCCGCGGACAGACGGCUCCCGGCGGGGGGGACCGCGAAGGACCCGUUGGGAUCCCACGGACGCCCCGACCCCCAUCCCGAGCGCCCCGCAGCCCACGGGGGGGGGCAGCGCCCC